CUGCGUUAAGUGACCCACUGGGCCUCAUCACAGUGCAAGAAGAAUUCUCACUACAGAAGGGCCAGGUCUGUUUGUAGGCUGCCCCUUUAGAACUGGGGGCACAUCU